rnacentral:rRNA from 1 species
UACGUAGGGGGCAAGCGUUGUCCGGAAUCAUUGGGCGUAAAGCGCGUGUAGGCGGCUUGGUAAGUCUGCUCUGAAAGCCCGGGGCUCAACCCCGGGAGGCGGGUGGAUACUGUCAAGCUCGAGUCCGGAAGAGGAGUGGUGGAAUUCCUGGUGUAGCGGUGAAAUGCGCAGAUAUCAGGAGGAACACCAAUGGCGAAGGCAGCA